UAAUGCCACCUUGGAUUGGUUGCCUUGGGUCUCAUGGAUGUGGUCCCUAUUGUGAGCUCUACGGGCUACGUGCCUGCAGAACCCGUGAGGUUGCCCCUGCAUAGAACAUUGCUCUAUGGGCGCCUACAACAUGUCGUUGUUUAAGCUUCAUGAUGUAGUGCUGUUAUCGGGGUGGUGUUGUUUGCUUGUGGCAUGCCUCUUGGACCGAAUGACUUGCGAUUGUUGGCUUGCGUUAUCACACGACCCCUCCCAAUUGGGUAGGUGUUGUAGGUAAUGUCCCAGCUCUCGUUUAAGAUGUGCUACCUGGUUGAUCCUGCCAGUAGUCAUAGGCCUU
rnacentral:misc_RNA from 1 species